UUUCAGGCGCGAGAGAAUUCUACAAGAAGGUCAAAACAAAUGCCCCAAUGAUUCUACCUAACAGUGAGUUUGUUUAGGCUAAUGUUUGUAAGUCUAACGUCACCUUACUUUCAAAUGUAAAGAUGACACUCGUUGAUCAAGUGAAUGAUAUGGAAUAAUUGAGAAGUCUGAUGACUCACUGUUCUCUUUCAAUUCUCUGAAACACUUCUAUAAGGUUGUUGGUCGAAAGAACUUCCAGUUGCUUGCAAAAAACGUGCUCGUCGGCAACCAGUUGAUUGUGAGAGGAUCCAUCUAGCCACUUGUGGUGUCUGCUCUGCAGACCUUACAGAGUCUUCUUCCUGCUGGAUGUUGCCAAGUCAUUUCUUACAGCUCCGAGUAUUUGGACUCAUACAAAUGUAAUUUUCUGGGCAUUCACUCCGAAGUACAACUGCCAUCACAUCUGCGAUCUGCAGAAAUGUUUGUCUUAUUGGACAUCACCAGGAAGCAGCCUGCGGGAUUGGGUCGGCAGCAGGAGUUGGCCGUGUUCGACAGCACGAGCAUCGGAGAUUAUAACUUUGCAGUACACGUGUCUAGUUCGAUCCAACAGGAUGAGAAAC